GACGAACCGUACGAACGUUAUUCGGAAUCACUGGGCUUAAAGGGUGCGUAGGCGGCGCAGAAAGUUGGGUGUGAAAUCCCUCGGCUCAACCGAGGAACUGCGCCCAAAACUACUGUGCUUGAGGGAGACAGAGGUGAGCGGAACUUAGGGUGGAGCGGUGAAAUGCGCAGAUAUCGGGAAGAACACCCGUGGCGAAGGCGGCUCUCUGGGCCGAUACUGACACUGAGGAGCGAAAGCUAGGGGAGCAAACAGG
rnacentral:rRNA from 1 species